GACAGAGUGGUCUAGUGGUUAGAACGCUGGCUUUGUAAUCCUGGGGUCUCGGGUUCGAUUCCCGGCUGUGCCC
rfam:Zootermopsis nevadensis contig17191, whole genome shotgun sequence.